ACGACCAAAGGUAGUGGAAAAUACGGGAUCCCGUCCGCUCUCCCAUAGUCAAGCCACUAACCGGCGGAUUAGUAGUUGGGUCGGUGACGACC
rnacentral:rRNA from 1 species